CUUUAACUGAAUUUCUUUUUGCUAUGGUUAAAGAUGAAGACCUUAAAGAAUGUUUUCUAGGGAACAAUGAAGGUCAUGCCAUGGAAAUUUCAAUGGUGCUUGAGGAAAAACAAUCCACGGAUAUAAUUAUUGAGAUCGAAGAAACUCAAAUCAUAAAGUUGAUGGAAGUUGAAGAUUUAUUUGACCCUUCAAUUCCAAUUGUUUUUUUGAUUCUAUUUGUCCAGGUGUUCUCAUAGAUACAAACAAAAACA
rnacentral:misc_RNA from 1 species